rnacentral:lncRNA from 1 species
GAAAAAUGGGAAUGCGUGGGAAGUAUGGUGGAUGGCCAUGUAUGGUGUAAGAAAUGGGUAUUAAAAGGUGAAGGUAUGGUGGUGAGAAUAUGGAUAUGGUGAGGGGUGUGAUGGCGAGUUUUGAUGAGGUAUGAGAAUGGAAAUGGAUGGUGGACAUGUUAAUGGGUAUUGGAAGAUAUGGGAUAUGAUUAGUGAGAUGAGUAGUGGGAUAUAGUGAGAGAAACGGGUGGUGAUGUGUUGGGUAUGAGGGGUGGUGAACAUGAAGGGU